AUUGAACGCUGGCGGCAUGCCUAACACAUGCAAGUCGAACGGCAGCACAGUAAAGACUUCGGUCGUUAUGGGUGGCGAGUGGCGGACGGGUGAGUAACACGUAGGAAUCUGUCCUGGAGGGCGGGAUAACGCGAGGAAAUGCGGGCUUAUCCCGUAUGAUAUCGAGAGAUAAAACGCAGGGGACCAUUCGGGGGCUUGUGCGCUCGGCUGAGCCCACGUCGGAUUAGCUAAUUGAGGGGGUAAAGGCCUACCAAGGCGACGCUCCGUAGCUGGUCUGAGAGGAUGACGAGCCAAACUGGGACUGAGACACGGCCCAGACUCCUACGGGAGGCAGCAGUGAGGAAUCUUGGACAAUGGGGGAAACCCUGAUCCAGCGAUGGCGCGUGUGUGAAGAAGGCCUUCGGGUUGUAAAGCACUUUAGUUGGGGAAGAAAAGUAAUAAGUAAAUAAUUUAUUGCACUGACGGUACCCAAAGAAUGAGCACCUGCUAACUCUGUGCCAGCCGCCGCCGUAA
rnacentral:rRNA from 1 species